UUAUUUUAUUGCUGUCUUUCAAUGUUCUUCUGACGAAACUUUCACUAACCCUAAUUCUUCAAUCUUGGUGAGAGCCUCGAAUUGUCUGGGUGAAUACCAAGAGAGGUUUGAUUCUGGGGGAGUUUUGAUAAAGAAGCUACAUAUUGCCUCUAACAGAUUAAGGAUUUCAAUAUGACCACAACUAUUGCUCAAAAUUGCAUUGCUAUCAGGUGCUGCGUGGUGCAGGUAAAGGAAAAAGUAAGAUGGAUCAACCAUGAGUUAAAGAGCGCUGAGGGCGAGGUAUACAUUGUCAGCUUCAUCCGCCACGACCGAAGGAUUGUACUGAGAAUGACUUUUGCUUUUAUUUAACUUUUGAAAGUUGUAAAUUUGUCCUUUAAAACCCUGUGUUUUGGGAUCCCACGUAUUGAACAUAUUUAAAUGAAAAGUUAUUCGUUUGUGACCAAAAUCUUUUAACUUUAGUUUGAUUGUGACUUUAAUGUCACAUUUUCAACUAAACGACUUGAUUAGCAAGUCUUGUACAAUUAUAAACACAGUGUAACAGUCUUGGUUAUCUAGGGCGUUACACACCCCAUAUCUGUGUUGUCUUCUCUGGGACAUUCAAUACCCCUUCUA